CUUGCUACCUGAUUCAGCGGCGGACGGGUGAGUAAUGCCUAGGAAUCUGCCCGAUAGUGGGGGACAACGUUUCGAAAGGAACGCUAAUACCGCAUACGUCCUACGGGAGAAAGUGGGGGAUCUUCGGACCUCACGCUAUCGGAUGAGCCUAGGUCGGAUUAGCUAGUUGGUGAGGUAAUGGCUCACCAAGGCGACGAUCCGUAACUGGUCUGAGAGGAUGAUCAGUCACACUGGAACUGAGACACGGUCCAGACUCCUACGGGAGGCAGCAGUGGGGAAUAUUGGACAAUGGGCGAAAGCCUGAUCCAGCCAUGCCGCGUGUGUGAAGAAGGUCUUCGGAUUGUAAAGCACUUUAAGUUGGGAGGAAGGGCAGUAAGCUAAUACCUUGCUGUUUUGACGUUACCAACAGAAUAAGCACCGGCUAACUUCGUGCCAGCAGCCGCGGUAAUACGAAGGGUGCAAGCGUUAAUCGGAAUUACUGGGCGUAAAGCGCGCGUAGGUGGUUCAGCAAGUUGGAUGUGAAAUCCCCGGGCUCAACCUGGGAACUGCAUCCAAAACUACUGAGCUAGAGUACGGUAGAGGGUGGUGGAAUUUCCUGUG
rnacentral:rRNA from 1 species